UACAGAGGUCUCAAGCGUUGUUCGGAUUCAUUGGGCGUAAAGGGUGUGUAGGUGGCGCGGUAAGUCGGGUGUGAAAUCUCGGAGCUUAACUCCGAAACUGCAUUCGAUACUGCCGUGCUUGAGGACUGGAGAGGAGACUGGAAUUUACGGUGUAGCAGUGAAAUGCGUAGAUAUCGUAAGGAAGACCAGUGGCGAAGGCGAAUCUCUGGACAGUUACUGACACUGAGGCACGAAGGCCAGGGAGCAAACGGG
rnacentral:rRNA from 1 species